UUCUCUUAUUAUAUGUUUUGCAGAUGGGGUCUCUUCUUCUUCUUCACUACUGCGAUGAAAACUGGCACUAGCAUCAACUGUUAGGUCUGGUUCGAGACUACCCAUGUACGCAUGCAACUAUCAGAGCCUGGAUCGACACUAUUUCGCACCCCUGCCCACUCCGCCUCUAAAAUUUGUGUUCUUCUCCUCUCUUGGUCAUCUACUUCGUGUGGUGUGUUCUUCAAAAAGGAAGUCUUUUUCAUGGAAGCUGCCACACAUACAUACACAAAGACAUAUACUUCACACUUGAGACAGAAAAUCAGAAAAGAAACAAAAAAAGAAAAGAAAAUCUUCGCAGAAGAUUAUGGCCUCAAAGGAGACCCAAGACUUCUAGCCAUUUCUCAAGCCAUCAGAGUCGUUUCUCAGAUUUAUGUCCCAAUUAAGUAAGAAGGUGACCACUGGUAUAUGGUUAUUAGCUUAUUGGAUGAAAAAUUAUAUCAGUUUGAUUCUAAUCUAAAUGAUGAUCAAGUUGAGCCAAGAUAAGAAAUUAUGAAAUCCUUGGCUAUAAGAUUAUCAGAUAUGGUAACUUUUGGGCAUUACCUAAAAGGUGACAUUCCUGAAAGAAAAGAUUCCAUGAAUUUUGAUGUGAAAGAGGUUAGGGGGUGCCAAUUGUCCUCAAAGCCGCGACUCUGGUGUUUGGGUUCUUCAAUGGUUGUCUACGACAGAGAAGUUUAAUCCCACGGUGUUGGUAUUCUAAAUGAGCAAUAUAUUCGGACAUUCGUUGUGAUAGAUCUUUUGUUGGAGAUGUUCAAUGACCACAAAUAUGAGUUUCAGAAGAAGAAUAAUGAUUUUUAGGCUAGGUUUUAGAGUGAAUAGUAUGGAGAUCAACAUUUUUGCCUAUUUUGUUAUUAUUUGAAAAAUUUGUUGUAAUCCUCAAUUAUAAAUGAGAUUAGUGAUAUUUAUAAUUUAUUUGUUGAAUUAUUAUUUUAAAAAAAAAAUUUUGUCUGA